GACGAACGCUGGCGGCGUGCUUAACACAUGCAAGUCGAACGGAAAGGCCCUGCUUUUGUGGGGUGCUCGAGUGGCGAACGGGUGAGUAACACGUGAGUAACCUGCCCCUGACUUUGGGAUAACUUCAGGAAACUGGGGCUAAUACCGGAUAGGAGCUCCUGCUGCAUGGUGGGGGUUGGAAAGUUUCGGCGGUUGGGGAUGGACUCGCGGCUUAUCAGCUUGUUGGUGGGGUAGUGGCUUACCAAGGCUUUGACGGGUAGCCGGCCUGAGAGGGUGACCGGCCACAUUGGGACUGAGAUACGGCCCAGACUCCUACGGGAGGCAGCAGUGGGGAAUAUUGCACAAUGGGCGGAAGCCUGAUGCAGCAACGCCGCGUGCGGGAUGACGGCCUUCGGGUUGUAAACCGCUUUCGCCUGUGACGAAGCGUGAGUGACGGGAAUGGGUAAAGAAGCACCGGCUAACUACGU
rnacentral:rRNA from 1 species